GGGGAAAGGAAUAAUCAGGUUUCUAGGAGUCCUAGAAAGGUUUGGGCGUCACUUUUGUAGGAGAAGGGAUAAGGCCUUCUAGAAAGGUUAUUUUGUGGCUGAUUUCUAGAAAAACAAGGGAUAAGGUGUGGCACCUUUGUAGGAAAGGAUUAGGUCUUCUAGAAAUCCCAUUUUAAGCAUCCUAAUCUAGUUAGAAACCCUCCUAAGUGGCUGGAAUGUGGAUAAUUUAGGAUUAGGAUAAGAUAAGAUAGGAUAAGGUUUGUUUGGAUAAGAUAAGCUAAGAUAAGGUUAUGGAUGAGGUUUUGGAUAAGAUCCUUCUCUUGAGUUGAUUCUUUGGCUUUAAUUCUUCUUCUUCAUGUAGGAAACUUGCUUGAGUAGGAAAACUUCAUUCGUCUAGGAAUCCAUCUUCAAUUAGGACUCCUACAUUGAUUAGGAAUCCUUCUUUAUUUAGGAAUCCUUCAUUUAAGCCCUUUCCUACUUCAACUAGGAAACUUUGUAUCUUCAAUUCUUCAACUUCAAAAACACAUUCCUAGCUUCACAAUCCUUCAAAUUCGUCCAUCCCUUGUGCUACAUAUGCAUGAACUCCAUUCUAAGCCCAAUUUUGCUCCAAAAUGCUCCAAAUUGCUUCCUUUUGCUCACUUUGUCUCUAAAACCUGAAAACACAUGAAAAUAGCUUAAAAGACUAAUUUAACUAAGAAAACACAACAUAAAUGCAUAAGAACUAACUAACUAAGGCGCAUAAAUAUGCUCCUAUCAAAUUCCCCCACACUUAGCUUUUGCUAGUCCUCGAGCAAAACAAAACGAAACAAAGUAAACAAAGGAAACAAAACAGUAAAACACAACCUAAACCUUCCAACAAUUUGCCUCAGGGAUUUCCAAUGCACAUGACAUGUUAAAAAUCAUCAUUCCCACAGAUUUUAGCCAUCUUUACACUUAAGCACAUACUUAAUCAUAGUCACUACUUACUAGUUCACAAAUAAUCAAUUAAAACAAUGUUUUUGAAUGUAGUAACAUGCCUUAGAGAAUUUGCUCAAUUCCUUACUAAGAUAUGCACUCAAUUUUUCACUCAGAUUUUCUGAACUACACACACCCUAUACUAGUUAUAUGUGAGAAGAUUGAUGUAAAUAUGAAAACGAAUGCUCACAUAUAUGUAUCACAAAGAAAGCAAUUUCUGGAGUUAAUAAGCAUGUUUAGAUAUGAUCUCAUGAAUGGAAUGCUACUACUUAGAUGCGAGAACCAGUGACACCAUAUGCUCAUACCAACUUCAAACUCCACAAAUUGAAACACAUAACACUCAAGAUUAAAGUUAAGGGUUGUAACGGGGCUUGGGGUAUUGGCUAACAAAGAAGGGUAAAGGAUAAACAAACGUUCUUAAAGCAAUAGUAAGCAAAGCAAUGAAAUUGACACUUAGAAUUCACUUUAGAUGCAGAAAACAACUUUAAAACACAAAGGGGAAUACGCAUGCAUAUUUAGGGUCAAAUUCAACUUUUUGGACCCUUUCUUCAACAAAUCAACACUUUUAGAACUCUUUUUCACAUCUUUUCAACUCUUUUUUCAUACUUUUCACAUUUUUUUCUUUUUCUUUUUCUUUUUCCACGAAUUUUAUUUUUUUUUUCUUUUUCAUGCCUCAUUCAAGACUUUGGCACACCCACAAACAAAAACUCACUUCCCCCACACUUGUUUUCUGCAAUAAUGAAUCAAAAGGAAUUCAUUUUGAAGUCAUUUUUACUAUGCUUCAAGAACAAGGGUAUGGAUGGUCCUAAUCUAGGCUAGGUAAGGAUAAUGUGGGUUAACAAAGAACAACAUAGGCUAAACAAGGCUCAACGGGGUUAAACCUACAAAAACAAAUGCAUGGAAUGAAGGCUUUUUGGCUAUGGUGGUACUAACUAAACAACUUCAUCUUGAAUAUGUGUUAUGCAAUUCAAUAACAUGCUUUGAAUGAAAUUGGCAUGAGUUCUAGCAUUUGGAACUAAAUGAUGAAACGCCUUCUAAGUAGUAACCAAGCAAAGAAUAAUGAGAUCAUGCAACGACUUUAGAAAACAAGAAUGCACAGAUUUUAACUCUCCAAAUAAACGUUUAGGCUCAAGUCUCACAAGGUUGUAGCGUUUGUUUGAGUUCCUUCCUUCAAGCAUGUUACAAAAACUGAUUUUUUUCUUUAUGAUUACAUGUGAAUUCAUAAGUUAUAACCACAACCAAGCAUAAACCAAAGAGAGUAAAUCAAACUUUCAUCCAUGUUUAUAACUCUCUUUAACAGUCAUGCAAUUACAAACCGAAUCCUCAUCAUUGUGUUGGAAGGUACCCUAAGACACAAACAAACACACAAAAACAACUUUAAACCGACUCUUUUUGGGUUUUUUUCAAAACAAUUUUUCAAAUUUUUUUCUUGAAUUUUCGGAUUUUUUUGGUCAAAACCACAUAAAAACACAUCAAAACUUUCUAAAAACACUUAAAAACAAUGAAAAACAACCUUUGAAAUGUUAGGGUGAUAAAAUCCUACGAAUUUGACAUCAAAAACACUUUGUUUACCCCCCCACACUUAAAAUCAAACAUUGUCCUCAAUGUUUCAAACAUAGACUCACACAAAACAAGCAAAUAUCACAACUAGCAAACAUGACAAAUAUGGCAAAGUAAAAGCAAUAAAGAGUAGGGUUUAGAAACGCAAAUCUGAUUAUGAUGCCGGAGCUUCCUAGGUCCUCUUUAGUUGCAUGGGUUGCCUCCCAAGAAGCGCUUGCUUUAACGUCUUCCAGCCGGACGAUGCUCCAUUGAAGGUUUAUGGAACCCCACAGCAUGGAGGGGUGUUUCCACAACCUAACCUACGAAAUACUUCAUUCUUUGGGUCCUUGAAUGGGAUGGGAUAAUGAUCCUUUCUAUUUGUCAUGUUUUGCUUCUCUAAAUCAACACGAACUCUCCCAUUACGUUGUCUUCGAUUUGGUACCUGCACCAUACAAGGUAACAACCUAUUAGUUGAAAUGGGAAUCGAAAUUAGAAUAGGUGGCUUACCUUUGUACGGCAAAGAAGUGGUAGCACUAUGGACAAAUUCACAAGGGUUGCACUUGGGCAGAUUUGAUGAUUUCAAGGUUGGGGCCGUGCACUCUUUGUUGUUCACUCCAAUUCCUUCCUCGAUGGUGGGUUGUGGUACAUUCUUGUUGACUAGUGUUGAACAUUCCUGCCCUAUAUUAUCAAUUACAUUAAUAGCACAACAAGAACGAACAUCAUUAGUAUUCUCAACCGAUUCAGAAAUCUUAAAGUUAAUCAUAUCACCACCAAAGGCCAUAGUUACUGCUCCCUUGGCCACGUCAAUCUUGGUUUGAGCUGUUUUCAUGAAAGGACGUCCAAGUAAGAGUGGUGAUGAUGGAGAGUGUACCGAAUCUUCCAUGUCAAGCACAUAAAAAUCUGCAGGAAAAAUCAAAUGGUCUACCUGCACCAAAACAUCCUCCAAAAUUCCUUUGGGGUAUGCAUUAGAUCGAUCGGCUAAUUGAAUAAUAACACCAUCAUUUUUAAGCUUUCCUAGAUUCAUGGAUGCAUAAACAGAAUAUGGCAUGACAUUUAUAGAUGCACCUAAAUCUAACAUAGCAUUAUCAAACCUCGCAUUGCCAAUAACACAAGGGAUAGUGAAACUACCUGGAUCUUUGCAUUUAGGUGGUAACUUUCUUUGCAACAAUGCAGAUACAUUCUCACUUACGUGUACCACCUCUUUCUCCCGAAUCCGUUUCCUUGUUGUACAAAGCUUCUUAAAAAACUUGGCAUACUUCGGGAUUUGCUUUAUAGCAUCGAGGAGAGGGAUAUUGACAUGCACCUUUCUAAACGUCUCAAGAACGUCUUGUUCCUCUUCUUCGUUCUUGGCUUGCAAAAAUCUGCUAGGAAAGGGUACAUCCGGAGGAAUAACAUUAGAAUUAACUUGAAUUAUACCUUCCUUACCCUUAUUGGCCGAAUUGGAUAGCCUUGGUGGUUGCGGCAAGGAUUGCUCAAUCCUUGCCGUGGCCUUUGCUUGGUCCAUCUCCUCAAUUUGCAUCUUCUCGUCCUCCUUGGGGGCAGAUUUGGAUGGUUUUGGCUCGGUUCCUACUUCUUUUCCGCUUCUUAGCGUGAUAGCCUUUGCAGAUUCGAAUCCACCUUUCGGAUUGACCACCGUUGAGCUAGGCAACCUUCCUUGCUCACGAAAUUGCCCUAUGAACUCAGCAAUUUGUCCCACUUGCUUCUCCAAGUUGUCCACCCUCCUAUCUUGGAUUUGCCUCUCUUUGGCUUGAGUUUGGACUUCUUGCGUCAAAGUAGUAAGUAAUUGAAAAAAUCUUAUCAUUAUCACUUGAAUUACCUGCAUUGCUUUGGGCAGGUUGUGCUUGGGCUUGUGGUGGUGCCAACGGCUUUUGAUAGAAACCCUGGGGUUGUUGCCUAAAUCCGCUUUGUUGUUGGCCUUGUUGGGGGUCUCGCCAGUUGAAAUUCGGAUGAUCACGCCAACCGGGAUUGUAAGUAUUGGAAAACGGAUCACCACGUGAUUGGUAUUGGUUGCCAUAUCCCACAACAUUGAGUGUCUCCCACCCUCCAUUCUCUAUCAAUUGGGGGCACUUGUCCGUAUGGUGGUUUUGCAUGGAACAUACGCCACAAGAAGCUACGGUUUUGACUUUUGAACCUUCCACCACCUGAGAAAGCAACAUAGUAAGGUUAGCCAUUUGAUUUUGAAGUUCGAUUGUGGCACUUACCUCAUUGACUUGAUGUUGCUGUGGCAUGCUCCUUUGUCCAACACCUUCGUAUUGUUGAGCGUUCAACGCUCGAUUAGCAAUCAACAUAUUUGCAGCCGUAGGGGUCUUGUCCACCAAUGCUCCUCCCGCUGAGGCAUCUAACAUUUUCCGUUCGAUUGGUAGAAGUCCCUCGUAGAAAUAUUGUAAAAGAAGCUCCUCCUUCAUUUGAUGCUGUGGACAUGAAGCAACAAGAGAUUUAAAACGUUCGUAAUACGUAGGAAAAGACUCACCUUCAUCUUGUUGAAUUCCACUUAUCCUUUUUCGUAGGAGGAUGACUCGAGAAGUUGGGAAAAACUUCUCCAAGAAAGCUCGUUUCAUGCUCUCCCAUGAUGUGACAAUUCCGGGAGCCAAUUCGUACAACCAAUCUUUCGCCUUCUCUAGGAGAGAAAAGGGAAAGGCCUUCAUCUUCAAGAUGCUCUCAUCCACGUUCACCGGAGUCAUGCUUGAGAAAACGACUUCAAACUCCUUCAAAUGCUUGUUCGGAUCUUCCAUGGACAGCCCAUGGUACUUCGGAAUGUGAUGUAACAAGCUUGACUUCAAUUCGAACUCGGCAGUUUUGUCCGGAGCCGCCCUAGGGUAUUGGAUACAUAAGGGUGCGGCAUUAUCCAAUCCCGACGCGGAAAGCUCCUUGAUUGUUCGGUUGUCCGCUGCCAUGUUUUCCACUUCCUCUUCAAAUUCAGAAACGGACUCCGAACUUGCACUUGAUUCACAAGGUUCCGGGUUCUUCCUCUUUCGUCUCAACUCACGCUCAAAAUCGUCGUCAAAGUCUAAAAUAUGUUCGUGAACCGGAUUAGCACUCCGAGUCAUAAACAAGUACCUAAAAUAAGAAACAAAAUAACAAACUCAGAAUCUGGAACGAAUUAAAACUGAAAUAAAACAAUCCAAGGGAUUAGCAAAGUUGCUAAUCCCCGGCAACGGCGCCAAAAAUUUGAUGUGAAAAUUAUGUUGACACUCAAAUUAACCCUCUUUUUAUCAAUUGUAGCAAGUAUGUAAGUAGGGAUCGUUCUAGGCCGGGGAUUAGGAGGGAUUGCAAAAUCACUUGGAAUUGACUCAACUAUGUAAAAACAAGUUUGAAACACUAAACUAGACUCAAAGAAUGCAAAACUAAACUUUAAAACACCAAAACAAACCAAAAGACUCAAAGCAGCACCAAAACACUCAAAACUGCCUUAAAAACACAAUCUGGGCAGUUUUGGACACUAAGCACCAAAUUGGACGAAUUUGGGUUUUAACUUGAAUCAAAACACUUAAAAACACAAAGUAAAACACUUACUGACUAAUUUGACACUUUAAAACAAAGGGGGAUUGGUUUUGGACGAAUUUAAAAACAAAACAAACUUUGUAAAUUAGAACAGAUUGUAAAAACGAAUUUGAUUUAAAUGGGUGAAUGGAAGGCUAGCUAAGGGGUUCAUCUCCACACAUGUCACAUUUGCAUAUAAAACGAUCUCUAAUUGCUUUUCAAUAAACCAUGAAUUCCCAACGCCCCAAGUUAAUUAGGUCCGCUUAAAUUAACCUUCAGAUUUUCCUAAUGUUAUUGAAUUGGAUGAUUGCAUACGACAACCCAAAGCAUUCCCCACAAGUCCCCUACAUGAUUGCAUAAUAGAGAUACAAGCAAGAAUCAUUAAGUUCUAUGAAAACCAUAAGCAUUGACGAAGCACUUGUUACUAUGAUUGCAUGAAACUUAUGCCAAGAAUUUACUUAACACGAUUGUGAUCAACAACCUUUACUACUUGUGAAUAUAAGCUCAUAACGAUUAGGUGAAAUUCCCUUAUAUCCUAGCAUCAAAUUCAUGCAUGCAAACUAAGUGUCGACCCUCAAUCAACAUACAAGAAUAAGUUUUAAUUCACAUAGAUAAGCAAAUUGAAAUCACAACUUAUGAAACGCAAUUAAAAGUAAUCAAAUCAUAUAGCAAGCAUAAUCAUGGUUUCGAAUCCCCCCCUAGCCAAGGGGGGUUUAGUUCCUCAUACUCGCAAAUAAACAAAGAUAAAUAAAUUUAAACAUUAAAACAAAGAUAGAAAACACCUAGAAACGCUCCACAAUCCAAGCUCCUUGAAUGGCAUGCACGGCUCCAAGUUGUCUUCCUUCUUCUCCUUGCAAACUCACGGCACACAAGGUAUGUUUGGGUGAAUGGUGUAGUGAAAAUAUGGUAGAGGAUGGUGACUAAAUGGUGCAGCAAAGGGUGGUAUUUUAUAGGAUGAAAUUCGCAGCCCCUAUGUAGCAAAGGAAAAGGAUUUAAAAGCCUAAUUUGUAUAGGAUAAUAACACACAAUCCUUGAAGGAAAAGGCUAAGGCUUUUAGAAACCAAGGGGGAAAGGAAUAAUCAGGUUUCUAGGAGUCCUAGAAAGGUUUGGGGCGUCACUUUUGUAGGAGAAGGGAUAAGGCCUUCUAGAAAGGUUAUUUUGUGGCUGAUUUCUAGAAAAACAAGGGAUAAGGUGUGGCACCUUUGUAGGAAAGGAUUAGGUCUUCUAGAAAUCUCAUUUUAAGCAUCCUAAUCUAGUUAGAAACCCUCCUAAGUGGCUGGAAUGUGGAUAAUUUAGGAUUAGGAUAAGAUAAGAUAGGAUAAGGUUUGUUUGGAUA
rnacentral:lncRNA from 1 species